UUCUUGGUCAUUUAGAGGAAGUAAAAGUCGUAACAAGGUUUCCGUAGGUGAACCUGCGGAAGGAUCAUUAAAGAAAUUUAAUAAUUUUGAAAAUGGAUUUUUUUGUUUUGGCAGGAGCAUGAGAGCUUUUACUGGGCAAGAAGACAAGAGAUGGAGAGUCCAGCCGGGCCUGCGCUUAAGUGCGCGGUCUUGCUAGGCUUGUAAGUUUCUUUCUUGCUAUUCCAAACGGUGAGAGAUUUCUGUGCUUUUGUUAUAGGACAAUUAAAACCGUUUCAAUACAACACACUGUGGAGUUUUCAUAUCUUUGCAACUUUUUCUUUGGGCAUUCGAGCAAUCGGGGCCCAGAGGUAACAAACACAAACAAUUUUAUCUAUUCAUUAAAUUUUUGUCAAAAACAAGAAUUUUCGUAACUGGAAAUUUUAAAAUAUUAAAAACUUUCAACAACGGAUCUCUUGGUUCUCGCAUCGAUGAAGAACGCAGCGAAAUGCGAUACGUAAUGUGAAUUGCAGAAUUCCGUGAAUCAUCGAAUCUUUGAACGCACAUUGCGCCCCUUGGUAUUCCAGGGGGCAUGCCUGUUUGAGCGUCAUUUCCUUCUCAAACAUUCUGUUUGGUAGUGAGUGAUACUCUUUGGAGUUAACUUGAAAUUGCUGGCCUUUUCAUUGGAUGUUUUUUUUCCAAAGAGAGGUUUCUCUGCGUGCUUGAGGUAUAAUGCAAGUACGGUCGUUUUAGGUUUUACCAACUGCGGCUAAUCUUUUUUUAUACUGAGCGUAUUGGAACGUUAUCGAUAAGAAGAGAGCGUCUAGGCGAACAAUGUUCUUAAAGUUUGACCUCAAAUCAGGUAGGAGUACCCGCUGAACUUAAGCAUAUCAAUAAGCGGAGGAA
rnacentral:rRNA from 1 species